UCACAAACCGUGAGAUCAUGACCUGAGCUGAAGUCAGACACUGAACCAACUGAGCCACCUGGGCGCCCCUGCGAGAAAGUGCUUUUACUUGGGCAUUCAACCAAGACUUCAGUUUUCAGCACCCCACCCCACUUUCAGAGAGAUGAAUCCUCACUUGGAGAGAAUGAAACCGGCACGAGAGAGGAAAACAGAGCCUGGAGACAGAACUGAAGACAAGACUUGAGUUUGAUUCAGCUCCAUCUAUAGCCAGAGUGCCCUUGGACUUCCAAGUUGCAAGAGAUGAUAAAUUCCCUUUUUCCCCCCCUUAAGUUAGUUUUAAUUGGGUUUUAGUCACUUUCAUCAGAAAGAGUCCCAACUAAUAUGGCAGAGUAAUGAGACAGUAUUUAACUCGGAACUUUAGAAGACCACCACAGUGGGUAGAGCUAGACCUCAACUUAUAGCCUAUUGAAAUUACAACUUGAAGGUUGUUUCUCAUUAAGCUUAUUGGUGGUGGAUAAUUCUUAUUCUUUAACUCAAGGCAAUGUGGGAACAGACUGGUGUCUGCUUUUUCCCUUUGGAGCUUGUUAUGUUUCUCCUAACAGAUGAAUUAUUUGUAAGCAAAAAUUAAAGAUAAAAAUCAAUUCCCAUCAUCUUCAAAAAAAAUGUGGUGAACAUGUCCCUAGAGUUAUGGGAGCUGCAGAGUAAUUCACCUACAGAGUGCUGCUGGAAGGCAGAACCCACCAAGCCCCCCAGAAUUCAGGGUUAAGGGAAAUGAUAGUUUUGUGCUUACUGAUUAGAAGUCUUUGCUGUAGCAGCCAGGGCCAAGAUAGCAAAUCUUUGGGUGAUCUGGCAAAUGACUUAAUAACAGGUAACUAAUACCACCUAAUGAAUACAUAAGCACAUACAAUAGUUCUACUCUUGUUUUGAGUGCUUUUUAUAUAUUACCACAAACCUGAUGAAGUACUGCUUAAUGAGUACUCUCAUCGUCUCAUUUUCCAGAUGAGAAAAAUCGAGGCACGGAAGUGUUUAAGCCAGGAUAGGCACCCAGGCGUCUGAUGCUAGUAGGACAUUCCCUUAAUCCCUGGACUACACUGUGCUAGCUUAUUAGUCACCCUAUAGAAGCACCUUUGCUCUGGCUGCAAGUCUAUGUCUCCACUGAUAAAGCAAAGAGUUUGGGGCAAGACAUAAUAUUACUAGGAUAAUAAUCAGGAAAAGGGAAAAAAAUCAAUUUCUGCAUGAAAUGUAUUCCUUCAUUAUUUUUAUUGUGGUAGAUUUUUCUUAUGAGGCUUUAAAUAUUGUUCAAUGAAUGGUUAUUAGUAUUAUUGGUAAAGAAUAAAGAGAAAGAAAAA